rnacentral:tRNA from 1 species
GGCUCCGUGGCGCAAUGGAUAGCGCAUUGGACUUCUAGGCAAGCACUAGCGAAGUGAUUCAAAGGUUGUGGGUUCGAGUCCCACCGGAGUCG